rnacentral:misc_RNA from 1 species
UUUCCAAAUCUUGAUCCGGAGCUUCACCUUGCAGCUGGCAUCCGGUGAUGCCGCUGUGACCUUACCUUUCCCCUUCGGCACCGGCACACUGAUGUUGACGCACCGGACCCUAAUCCCGAUCUUGCUGGUCUUUACUCCGGCGAUCUUGACUCCUGUCUUUGUUAUCACAUCGAUCUCGAGCGGAAUUGUCGUCUUUUUCUUCAGAUCUGAGGCUACUGUUGCAUCGAGUGUCUGGCGAGAGGUGGAGGCGGUUGUUUUGAGGACUGUUGUGUUCCUGGCGCCGUGGAUGAAAGCGGGGAACGAUCCGUCGCCGAUGUCGACACCGGAGG